rnacentral:hammerhead_ribozyme from 1 species
AUCCAACUGACGAGUCCCAAAUAGGACGAAACACACGUUCUGGAU